GACGAACGCUGGCGGCGUGCUUAACACAUGCAAGUCGAACGCUGAAGCCCUUUCGGGGGUGGAUGAGUGGCGAACGGGUGAGUAACACGUGGGUAAUCUGCCCUGCGCUCUGGGAUAAGCCUUGGAAACGGGGUCUAAUACCGGAUAGGACACAUCGCCGCAUGGUGUGUGUGUGGAAAGUUCCGGCGGUGCAGGGUGAGCGCGCGGCCUAUCAGCUUGUUGGUGGGGUGAUGGCCUACCAAGGCGACGACGGGUAGCCGGCCUGAGAGGGUGACCGGCCACACUGGGACUGAGACACGGCCCAGACUCCUACGGGAGGCAGCAGUGGGGAAUCUUGCGCAAUGGGCGAAAGCCUGACGCAGCAACGCCGCGUGGGGGAUGACGGCCUUCGGGUUGUAAACCUCUUUCGACCGGGACGAAGGGUGACUGACGGUACCGGUAGAAGAAGCACCGGCUAACUACGUGCCAGCAGCCGCCGUAA
rnacentral:rRNA from 1 species